GUCCGACUAAGCCAUGCGAGUCAUGGGGCGCCUUGCGCGCACCGGCGGACGGCUCAGUAACACGUCGGUAACCUACCCUCGGGAGGGGGAUAACCCCGGGAAACUGGGGCUAAUCCCCCAUAGGCCUGAGGUACUGGAAGGUCCUCAGGCCGAAAGGGGCUCUGCCCGCCCGAGGAUGGGCCGGCGGCCGAUUAGGUAGUUGGUGGGGUAACGGCCCACCAAGCCGAAGAUCGGUACGGGCCAUGAGAGUGGGAGCCCGGAGAUGGACACUGAGACACGGGUCCAGGCCCUACGGGGCGCAGCAGGCGCGAAACCUCCGCAAUGCGGGCAACCGCGACGGGGGGACCCCCAGUGCCGUGGCAACGCCACGGCUUUUCCGGAGUGUAAAAAGCUCCGGGAAUAAGGGCUGGGCAAGGCCGGUGGCAGCCGCCGCGGUAAUACCGGCGGCCCGAGUGGUGGCCGCUAUUAUUGGGCCUAAAGCGUCCGUAGCCGGGCCCGUAAGUCCCUGGCGAAAUCCCACGGCUCAACCGUGGGGCUUGCUGGGGAUACUGCGGGCCUUGGGACCGGGAGAGGCCGGGGGUACCCCUGGGGUAGGGGUGAAAUCCUAUAAUCCCAGGGGGACCGCCAGUGGCGAAGGCGCCCGGCUGGAACGGGUCCGACGGUGAGGGACGAAGGCCAGGGGAGCGAACCGGAUUAGAUACCCGGGUAGUCCUGGCUGUAAAGGAUGCGGGCUAGGUGUCGGGCGAGCUUCGAGCUCGCCCGGUGCCGAAGGGAAGCCGUUAAGCCCGCCGCCUGGGGAGUACGGCCGCAAGGCUGAAACUUAAAGGAAUUGGCGGGGGAGCACUACAAGGGGUGGAGCGUGCGGUUUAAUUGGAUUCAACGCCGGGAACCUCACCGGGGGCGACGGCAGGAUGAAGGCCAGGCUGAAGGUCUUGCCGGACACGCCGAGAGGAGGUGCAUGGCCGCCGUCAGCUCGUACCGUGAGGCGUCCACUUAAGUGUGGUAACGAGCGAGACCCGCGCCCCCCAGUUGCCAGUCCUUCCCGCUGGGGAGGAGGCACUCUGGGGGGACCGCCGGCGAUAAGCCGGAGGAAGGAGCGGGCGACGGUAGGUCAGUAUGCCCCGAAACCCCCGGGCUACACGCGCGCUACAAUGGGCGGGACAAUGGGAUCCGACCCCGAAAGGGGAAGGGAAUCCCCUAAACCCGCCCCCAGUUCGGAUCGCGGGCUGCAACUCGCCCGCGUGAAGCUGGAAUCCCUAGUACCCGCGUGUCAUCAUCGCGCGGCGAAUACGUCCCUGCUCCUUGCACACACCGCCCGUCA
rnacentral:rRNA from 2 species